GAUCAAUUGGCAAACCCACAUUAGAUUUUGCCUCACAUCGAUGUGAACUGAAUAUCUUCAACAAAAUCCAUUUCCAUAAUGUCAUCAGACCUAAACAAGAGCCAGUCUACGACGAUUUUACUACCAGAAGAUGCAACUGAAUCGAAGUAUAAACUUAAGAUUUGGAACAGUUCAUUGAAUCUUUUAGUUCAUAUGUUAAUUGGCGUGAUUGUGGGAGUGACAGUGUUAUUUGUAUUCAGUUAUGGAGUACCUCCCAAUUGGGUUAUGCUACAUAUGUUGCUUUGUGUUAUUGGGUAUCAACUUCUCAUGGCGGAAGGUAUACUUAGCCUGUGUCCAGACAACGGAUGGUCUUCUUUCAUGACACUGAGAGACAAAAAGCGAGCGCACUGGAUUUUGCAAGUUCUUGGAUCAGCUCUUGCCAUUAUUGGCACUGUUAUGGAAAUCACACAAAAGAAAGUACACUUUAAGUCACUGCAUGCACAGUUUGGUCUAGUGGCCAUGAUAUUCACAAUACUAUCCCUGAUCAACGGACUGACUUCGUUAUACACAUACGAGCUUCGAAAGUUCAUAUCACCGAAACUGUCAAAAAUUACCCACAGCGUGUUUGGAUCCAUAGCCUUUCUUACUUCGUCCAUCUCCUUAUGUUAUGCUUUUAAUAUGAGAUGGUUUAGAAAUUGGGUGGCCAUUGACGAAUUAGCUGUAACGCUUAUUGUAUUCACUGCAUUACUGACGUUUAUUGUAAUGGUUAAUCCAUUUGUUGUAUUGUACGUUAAAUAUUUUCCAAAUAAAAAAUAAUGUCCUAUCGUGAAAAUAAAA